rnacentral:rRNA from 1 species
UACGUAGGUGGCAAGCGUUGUUCGGAAUUAUUGGGCGUAAAGGGCGCGUAGGCGGUUUGUUAAGUCAGCUGUGAAAGCCCGGGGCUCAACCCCGGAGGGUCAGCUGAUACUGGCAGACUAGAGUACAGAAGAGGUAACUGGAAUUCCCGGUGUAGCGGUGAAAUGCGUAGAUAUCAGGAGGAACACCUGUGGUGUAGACGGCUCUCUGGACCGCAACUGACGCUGAGACACGAAAGCGUGGGUAGCAAACAGG